rnacentral:lncRNA from 1 species
CUGACAUCGGCUAGAAACAUCAGAGCUCUGCUCUUUUUAUUACUAUCUUGCCUCACAGUCCUGCAUAGAAGUGCAAAUGUUGAUGGAUGCAAAAUACUACUGGAGAAGACACUUGACUGAGCAGACACUGCCGUCACAACUCUCUUGAAAGAUCCACGCUGGGAAGACAUACAGAAAAUGGGCUUCAUAGUUCAGCGAACCAAAGAGACAUUUUGAAAGUCCCUCUUGAGUCUCCAAGUGUCUUGCAAAUGGCUGUGCUGGAAGGAUGCUGGUGCCAAGAAAAGGCCAUGCGGGCAGAGAGAAGAUGGCUCUGCACUAACCAGGAGGAGGACCCUCACCAGAGCCUAACCACCCCUGUACCCUGAUCUCAGACUUCAGUCUCCAGCACCCCACAUGGGAUUCCCCUGAAACACAGUGAGUCAAAUCAAAGAGCUCUCACCCAAAGUUCCAGAAGAAAAUAAACAAAAUGAAACCUGAGGCA